GAUGAACGCUGGCGGCGUGCCUAAUACAUGCAAGUCGAGCGAACAGACGAGGAGCUUGCUCCUCUGACGUUAGCGGCGGACGGGUGAGUAACACGUGGAUAACCUACCUAUAAGACUGGGAUAACUUCGGGAAACCGGAGCUAAUACCGGAUAAUAUAUUGAACCGCAUGGUUCAAUAGUGAAAGACGGUUUUGCUGUCACUUAUAUAUGGAUCCGCGCCGCAUUAGCUAGUUGGUAAGGUAACGGCUUACCAAGGCGACGAUGCGUAGCCGACCUGAGAGGGUGAUCGGCCACAUUGGAACUGAGACACGGUCCAGACUCCUACGGGAGGCAGCAGUAGGGAAUCUUCCGCAAUGGGCGAAAGCCUGACGGAGCAACGCCGCGUGAGUGAUGAAGGUCUUCGGAUCGUAAAACUCUGUUAUUAGGGAAGAACAAAUGUGUAAGUAACUAUGCACGUCUUGACGGUACCUAAUCAGAAAGCCACGGCUAACUACGUG
rnacentral:rRNA from 1 species